rfam:Plasmodium falciparum MaliPS096_E11 unplaced genomic scaffold supercont1.65, whole genome shotgun sequence.
AUAUCAAUGUUCUUUUUGUGAUUAAUUUAGGAGGGCAAAUCCGCUGAAUAAAACUGCUAAAAUAUAAUUAAGCGGAAGAAAAGAAAAUAACUAUGAUUCCUUUAGUAACAGCGCGUGAAAAAGGAUAAGCUCAAUUUAGAGAAUCCUUCGAUUUUUUUUUAAAGGAAUUGUUGGAAUUGUUUCUUUUUUUUAUAUAAUAUACUCUAUAUGAUAACUGUUCUUUGGAUUAUAUAUUACGUAAUGUGUAUAUACAUCUAUUUUACAGGUACACAAGAGCAAGGAUAUUAAAAAAUAUAUAGGAAAUAUAAUGGAAAAUUGUCCCAAAGAGGGUGAAAGGCCCGUACUUGUUUUUAUAUCUACCUUGUGCUUAAAUUAGAGUUAAAAAUAAAGAAUGAGUUGUGUUUUAUGAAUAUGGGACACUAAUACGUGUGAUGGAUUUCACAUAAAGCUAAAUAUGUGUAGGAGACCGAUAGCAAACAAGUACCGUAAGGGAAAGAUGAAAUAGUACUCAGGAAUGAGAAAUUAAAUAGUACCUGAAA